rnacentral:rRNA from 1 species
GACGAACGCUGGCGGCGUGCUUAACACAUGCAAGUCGAACGGAAAGGCCCUGCUUUUGUGGGGUGCUCGAGUGGCGAACGGGUGAGUAACACGUGAGUAACCUGCCCUUGACUUUGGGAUAACUUCAGGAAACUGGGGCUAAUACCGGAUAGGAGCUCCUGCUGCAUGGUGGGGGUUGGAAAGUUUCGGCGGUUGGGGAUGGACUCGCGGCUCAUCAGCUCGUUGGUGGGGUAGUGGCUUACCAAGGCCUUGACGGGUAGCCGGCCUGGGCGGGUGACCGGCCACAUUGGGGCUGAGAUACGGCCCAGACUCCUACGGGAGGCAGCAGUGGGGAAUAUUGCACAAUGGGCGGAAGCCUGAUGCAGCAACGCCGCGUGCGGGAUGACGGCCUUCGGGUUGUAGACCGCUUUCGCCUGUGACGAAGCGUGAGUGACGGUAAUGGGUAAAGAAGCACCGGCUAACUACGUG